AUUUUUUCCACACUGAUCAACCCAAAUUAUAAAGUCAAAUUUAACUUUUCUCAUCAUCCAGUUGAUUUAUAAAGUAUUAUCUUCAACAUAUUUGGAAUCCCUACAAUUUGUCUCUGCUAAAACAUCACGUUGUAGCAAAACUGUUACUAUCACUUGCUUUUUAACUUUUUGGUUGAUCAUUUGUAUUUUCUGUCACUAUUUGGUAUGCUUGAGUAGGAGCACUGUGCUAGGUUGGGGUAAGGCUCUAGAAAGAGAAAGAGGAUUUUAUUCUCUCAGAGAAGUGGAGAAUUAUUGACAAGGAGAUGAAGAUCCUCUAGAAAGUCAAACAAAAUUGAUGACCAGACCAUAUUGGUCAUUAAUGUCUUGCAAGCAAACUUCGUAUGAUGUAAUAUUUUGUAAGUUGGAAAAGAAGAAUUUAUGUGAUGUAGGUAGAACUAGGAAUAAAACUAUUCAAACAACUACAGCACUUUAGGGAUUCCAAU
rnacentral:sRNA from 1 species